rnacentral:lncRNA from 1 species
AUGAAACCAGGGCCGGGGUCAGGGGUCAGGGUCAGGUCCAGGGCCGGCUCUGACCCCAGCAUCUCUCACUGCUCCACCCAGGUGGGGGGCUGUGGAGCGAACCCCAGGCACAGGACCCGCCCGCCGGCUGCCUGGCAACACAGUGCCCCAGGGGCCUGGCCCCAGCUCGGCCUCUGUUUUCCAGUCGGGGGAGGGGCAGGUGCAGGACAGAGGCCGCCCUGCCCCCUCCCCUCCACCUGUUGGCCUACGACCAAGUCGGUCUUUCUCGCAGGCACAGAGCUUCUGUUUAAGGUCCCGGCUUAUCUUCCAAGCAGGAAAAAUGAUCUUAUUUUCGCUCCCUUUUCUGAGCCAAAACAAUUAUCUAGCCACAGGAGAGCAGGAGCCGGCAGCCCUCGCGGGACGUCCUCACAGCAGGCCGAUUCUCCUGUCCGCCAGCUCCCCGAACCCCCUCCAGGAGCACUGCUGCCUGCCGGGAGGGGCCGGGGGCAUCGCCAUCACGGAGACCCUCGCCGGGACACCUGGCGGGAGCCGCGUGAGGGCGCUGAGGCCCUGUGCCGGUUGAACCUCUCGCUGGCGAGGCACACAACCACACAGAGCUCCCAACGGGCCCCGGCCCAGCCGCCGGUGAUGCCUCCACCUGCAGCCACGCCAGAGGAGACGGCGACCAGUCUACACCGCAAACCCUUCCACGAGGGGGUCUGGCUCCAAAACCCCCGACAGAGAAAACAGAAACCACCCAGAAACGGGGAAUAUUUUCCAACAGAAAACCGGAGCGGGGUGGAGGAUGGCCACUCGGGCUCCCACAGGCGCCAACGGCACGGCCAGCAGAGCCGCCUCUCCCUGCAGAAUGAGCAGCUGGGCGAGCUGCGGGCCUGGAGGGCGAGGAACAAGUCACAGUGUGCGGCUAGGCCGGCAAUGUGGCACGGUAGGUACCGCCGCCGGCAGUGCCCGCACCCCAUAUGGGCGCUGGUUCAAGUCCCGGCUGCUCCACUUCCCAUCCAGCUCCCUACUAAUGUCCUGGGAAAGCAGCAGAGGACGGUCCACGUGCCUGGGCCCCUGCACCCACGUGGGAGACCCGGAUGGAGUUCUGGGCUCCUGGCUUCAGCCUGGCCCAGCCCCGGCCAUUGCAGGCAUUUGGGGAGUGAACCGGCGGAUGGAAGAUCUCUCUCCCCACCUCCCUCUGACAGAUUCCUUGGCGUGAGCACAGAGAACACACAACUUCCACUUACAGAAAUCCAGGCCCCCUGCACUCCAGAACAAGGAACCGGGUCCCAGGGACUGCACGUCUGGGCUUCCGGGGGCCUCGUGCUGACAGGUGACGGGAGAGCCCCAAACCCCGGCUGCCAACUCCCGGCCUCACACGGCUUUUCCUCUCAGUCCCCAAAGCACGCACCCACGGUGUCCCUCCCUGGGGUCAGGACUGUGAGGGGCCUAAUUGGAAGCCCCCUGGUCUGCUGCCAUGGCCCUGGGAGUGACAAACGAGGAGACCCCGGCCACUCGCGGAAGCAGAACGGGGGCAACACCAAGUCUACCCUCAGCCACACGCCCCGCAAGCCCCCUCCUCCUCGCAGCAGUGGGGUGGGGGCCACACUCGGGCGAUGCAGUCUGGACGCUCCCCGGCAACAGCGGUCACCUGUGGGUCAGACAACUGAAAUGCUGGGAGGCGCGGCGUCCACGGGCACCCCCUGUGCACAGAGCCUGGCCAGCAGCUCCCCAGCAAGCCGGCCACGGCGAGCACCAGGCCACUCUGAGAACAGGGAAGGCCGUGCCCGGACCCACAUGGGCCAGGUGUCCCCAAGACCGUGUCACCGCAGACCCCAUCACUCGCGGUCUUUCGAGCCCUCUCGCUCUCCCAAGGGUCCGGAGAGGGACUCUGCUGCGGCUCGCUCCCUCCUGGGCCCCAGGCAGUGGACGGGAGACUGA